AUUGAACGCUGGCGGAAUGCUUUACACAUGCAAGUCGAACGAUGAAACCUAGCUUGCUAGGUCGAUUAGUGGCGAACGGGUGAGUAAUAUAUCGGAACGUAUCCAAUAAUGGGGGAUAACUAGUCGAAAGAUUGGCUAAUACCGCAUACUUCCUACGGGAGAAAGCUGGGGAUCGUAAGACCUGGCGUUAAUGGAGCGGCCGAUAUCUGAUUAGCUAGUUGGUGGGGUAAAGGCUCACCAAGGCAACGAUCAGUAGCUAGUCUGAGAGGACGACCAGCCACACUGGAACUGAGACACAGUCCAGACUCCUACGGGAGGCAGCAGUGGGGAAUUUUGGACAAUGGGCGCAAGCCUGAUCCAGCCAUUCCGCGUGAGUGAAGAAGGCCUUCGGGUUGUAAAGCUCUUUCGCAAGGGAAGAACACUUAAUCUCUAACAUAGAUUGAGGUUGACGGUACCUUGAUAAGAAGCACCGGCUAACUACGUGCCAGCAGCCGCAGUAA
rnacentral:rRNA from 1 species